CCUACGGGUGGCAGCAGUGAGGAAUAUUGGUCAAUGGAGGCAACUCUGAACCAGCCAUGCCGCGUGAAGGAUGAAUGCCCUAUGGGUUGUAAACUUCUUUUAUUGGGGAAGAAACCUCUCUUUGUAAAGAGAGCUGACGGUACCCAAGGAAUAAGGACCGGCUAACUCCGUGCCAGCAGCCGCGGUAAUACGGAGGGUCCGAGCGUUAUCCGGAAUCAUUGGGUUUAAAGGGUGCGCAGGCGGUAAAGUAAGUCAGUGGUGAAAUCCUGCAGCUCAACUGCAGAACUGCCAUUGAUACUGCUAUACUUGAAUAUAGUCGAAGUGGGCGGAAUGUGACAUGUAGCGGUGAAAUGCUUAGAUAUGUCACAGAACACCGAUAGCGAAGGCAGCUCACUAGACUAAAAUUGACGCUCAUGCACGAAAGCGUGGGGAGCGAACAG
rnacentral:rRNA from 1 species